rnacentral:lncRNA from 1 species
CUUUCUAGAGCCGUGCGUGAGGGAAAGUGGGGAGAGGCUGUGGAUACGAGUGUUUCUCUGGAUGAAGCAGUGGGCGGAGAAGCAUAGCAAAGUCUACGCAGAGAACUGGAAGAGAACACCACCAUGCUUUAGGAGAGCUACUAAGAACUGAGUGAGCAAAGAGCCUUAAGGGUACCAUUGUGCCAAGUCAGGGUGCUGAGGCUUUCCCUGUUGUGCUCAGCCCGCCAGGUUCCAAAAAAAUCUUAGGGCCCGGCCUAGGAGUAUGACAUCACUGGGUUGACAUUUUUCCCCGCUUGUUUGUAACCCCAGUGCCAUAUCAGGGCUCCAACUGCUUAGAAAUGUGAAUUAUGGCUCACAUUUGCGUCUCAUUUGCUGUUUGUAAGCUGAGGUAAUCCUCUGAACUAUAUAGUGUGGCAUUACCUGUUUUUCAAAUUCACCUCCCAAAGUUCUGAGAAGCCAAACAUCACCCAAGUUAUCAAGUUGCAGCGCACAAACUGAAAUCGGUGUUUCUGACUCACACUUAAGUCCACUCUGCCUACAUAGAAAGACUGCAUUCCUUUCAUUUUCCCUCUUGCAGUUGCUUCCCUGGGAUGGAGAUAAGUCAUUUUGGUAGACUUCUAUGGAAAUUGAUCCACC